AAAAAACGUGAGCGGGGCGAAGCCUGAUCCGCAUGCCGCGUGUGGGAAGAAGGCCUUCGGGUUGUAAACCACUUUUGGCGGGAAAGAAAUGGUCUGUGCUAAUACCACGGAUCGAUGACGGUACCCGCAGAAUAAGCACCGGCUAACUACGUACCAGCAGCCGCGGUAAUACGUAGGGUGCGAGCGUUAAUCGGAAUUACUGGGCGUAAAGCGUGCGCAGGCGGUUGGGAAAGAUAGAUGUGAAAUCCCUGGGCUCAACCUAGGAAUUGCAUUUGUGACUGCUCGACUAGAGUACGGUAGAGGGGAGUGGAAUUCCGCGUGUAGCAGUGAAAUGCGUAGAUAUGCGGAGGAACACCGAUGGCGAAGGCAGCUCCCUGGACCUGUACUGACGCUCAUGCACGAAAGCGUGGGGAGCAAACAGGAUUAGAUACCCUGUAGUCCACGCCCUAAACGAUGUCGACUAGUUGUUGGACGGGAAACUGUUCAGUAACGAAGCUAACGCGUGAAGUCGACCGCCUGGGGAGUACGGCCGCAAGG
rnacentral:rRNA from 1 species